UACUUGCACCGUCUCGUUUCAUAACCGGAAGAUCUAACAGAACGAUAAAAGAAGUCUGGGAGAUUUUAUGUGAAACUCUGCAUCAAAACUCAGAAUCCUCGGUAGAUACAUAAGCUACAGACUGACAAGAUGCGUUACUGGCAACCUUUGAUGAAAAACCCUCAUUCAAGAUACAGGAUCAUUUGCCAGCCUCAGUCCUAUCUUUGAUUCUUUCUAGUGUGGAUUUAGAAAACAGCCAGUAACCCACAGAACCCGACAUCAUCAAUGCACCAACUGAUUCUUCGGGAAGUGGUAAUUAGCACAAUAUGGAAACGAUGUGCAGGGUCCAAAUACCUGAGACAACAGAAGAAUCCACCAAAGACG